rnacentral:rRNA from 1 species
UACGAAGGGGGCUAGCGUUGCUCGGAAUCACUGGGCGUAAAGCGCACGUAGGCGGAUUGUUAAGUCAGGGGUGAAAUCCUGGAGCUCAACUCCAGAACUGCCUUUGAUACUGGCGAUCUCGAGUCCGGGAGAGGUGAGUGGAACUCCUAGUGUAGAGGUGAAAUUCGUAGAUAUUAGGAAGAACACCAGUGGCGAAGGCGGCUCACUGGCCCGGAACUGACGCUGAGGUACGAAAGCGUGGGGAGCAAACAGG